CACUGCAUCAUCACCACCCAUUACUUUAGAGUUUGGUAUUUCUUCUGUUCACUCUCUUUGUAUUUUUGUUAAUUGAUAAAUAUAACCUUUUUUCAUGUCUAUUUUUGAAAGCAUUCUUACUUUACAGCAUUGUUUCCACACCUGCCUAAACUCUUUGCACAGAACUGUAGACUCAAGACUCUUUAUCUUAUUUUUACAGUAUUGCCAAACAAAACAAAAGGAGCAGUUUAACACAAAUUCUUGUUCAGGAUGUGAGCCCUUGCAUUAAUUUGACUUUGUCUUACCUGCAUGAUGCCGUUGGCUGAAUGCUGGAUGAAAAGAUCGAGGAUCCCAUCAUCAUUGAAGUGUCCAGGGGCUGGUUGGCUGUGACAGGCAAAGAAAUAUUUUAGGGAAGUAUCACAAAAUUCUGACAAACGACUUACUUUGUUUUCAUCAGUUAAAAAGCUUAAACAGUGUUUUCAUGUUGGGAUUUACGGUACAUUAAUGACUUAAUUUGAUUCAAAGUAUAAGAUAAAAUAUAAGACUGUAAGCUGACUACACGCCAACUUUGAUAACCUCAGAUGAUUCUCUGUAUUCUUGUCAUAACAGUAGCAUUGUUGGCAGUGACAGGCAUGUAAAAGUAACUCAGUCGGUGGCGACAUAGUGAUUCGCGGGGCUUCACCUGUGAAUGGGAGCCGAGUUGAAAGUCCAUUCUUUACGUAUGUCCCUCUGUCUGAGCACUGACAGUUUGCUGGAUCCAAACACCAGCACCCAGUCGCUUUUGGAGGCUUUAAGGUUGGAAAGCGUGUCCAGGCUGUUGUGGUAGUUGCCAAAACCAGCCACAAGAGGGAGCAGGAACUCCACACGCUCAGAUCCUCUAGAAAGACAACAAAGUUGUGAUUUUGGCUUAUAUCAGUCGUAAAUUGUAUAAUAAGCCGGUAGUAAACAAGUCCGUGUCAUCUUUUUUCCCUGGAAAUUGGAGACCACGUUUCCCCAGUAAUCAGGAUUUCUUAGUUUAACCUAAAUCUAAAAUCUGCACUCAUACAGACAUUCAGGUGUCCCACUUGUAGCAGGUCAUACCAAGUGAUUAAAGGUUAUUUAUUAUUUAACACAGAAGCCUCUGUAUAGAGCCAUGUGCCAGUCAAUGAGGUGUACCUGUAAAUGUGUAUGAAGGAGGAGGAAUUGCUUUUCUUGAGUGCCUCCCAUCCUGGAUCCUUCCUUCUCAGUUCUUCAGUUAUGGGCAUUUUGCCAGUGGCACGAAAGUAGAUAUCACGCAGAGAGAUGGCCUCUACGUUACCUGAGGAAAAAGGCAAUGACACAAAGUCGUGUAUCUAUUGCAGACAAACGUGGUGACUGAGUCCCUUUCACAGUGAUGUUAAGACCUCUAUACUGCCGGUUGAUUCCUUUACCUAGUCCAAAUAAGAUGUAGUAUGCCUCAAGUUGUGUCUCGUGCAGCAAAGGACCAAUCAGCUUUCCUUGUCCAGUGAGGUUGAAAGGCACGGGACGUCCGAGCUUUGCCCCCGUCAGCCCAGAGAUCAAGGUCAGGGAGAGAUCCAAAGACUGAAAACGAAUACGGCAGAAAUAGGGUUGUAGUCACUGAAUGCAAAGCUCUGGGAACAUCAUUGUGUUGACUUUCAGCUCUUGAUCCCUUAUGACAAACUAAUAUACCAUUGUAUGAAACAUAGACGCUAUUAUGAGACUGUCAGCGGAAGCACAACUUUAUUUAGCUGUAGGAUAUAUGAGAGUCGGCAGCUGUGAAAUUUCAAAACAACUUAAAUGUGUGUCCCUCUAUAAACAAGAGAAUGAGUGAAAUUCAUAUCUAUCAAUCUAUAAACUGGAUUGUUUGAUUAAAAGGACUUAAUAGAUGCACUCAAGCAAAUCAGCUGAAAUACAACCAAGAGACUCACAAUCAAGUGUUUUAGAUCAAAGUAUUAUCAGAAUAGUAAGAAGUGACUUUAUUUGUAUACUACUAGUAGAAAUGAUAAAACAGACUAUGUCAUUUUAGAGUGUAAUCAUUGUGUUUCACACAGUGCAGUUGUGCUGCAGUGCAAGUUAAGUGCCUCGGUGUAACUUUAUAUAUAUGUUCAGGAGGAAGAGAGGGGUGUGGCUGUCAUAGCUAUACCUCAUCUGCAGGCAGGGUGGCUAUCAGCAGAUCUGGGACCGAGUCACCCUGGAGGUCUGGAAGUAACACCGCCUGGGAUUCAAUGUUCUUAAGCUGCACCGACCACAAGUUCGACCCUGGGGAGCGAAAGGAGAACUCUUUGACUCGGUUUUAAAUGGAUUUCAUUGCGACAGGGGGUCACCUUUACUGACCUGUUCUCACAUGGAGUUUAACCUAUUGACAGGGUGCGAAUUACAGGAGAGCCAGGAGGAGCCAGGCUCCUCUUAAUAAGACGUGAGCUCCCUAAAUACAUGGUUUGUGAAAAGUUGGAGUGGGUGCUACUUUUGCCAUGCAUUUCUAUUUUUCUGUGUCUUUAUCAUAAAGGAUCACCCGUAGAGUCAGGCUAUUUACUGAUGUAUGACUCAUCACUAACUCACUUUAAAGAGACCAACAGGCAUGCUGUUCUUGUCGUCACCACUGAAGCGUGGCGGUGCAAUAAACUUCACUCUCUUUAACUCAAAGAUCAGGGGGAAAAAACACUUUCUCAGUCCCACCCAUGCCCAAACUCCCUUUGGUAAGUUUCGUCCCAACACCCUUUAUUGUUCCCCCCAUGAAAAAAAAUAAAAACCCAACAAGUGAAACCAUGGUAUAGUUCGCCCACCGCCUAUUGGCUUACCUCUUUUGUCUGAAUGGGGAGCUGGAGGCUGAGAGAAAUUUAGCUCAAAUAUCUGUAUUGUUUUGCACAUGAGCAUUCAGAACAACCAGACAACAGACGAAGACGAUCAGGUACAGUGCUUCUACACGGGAAAAAUAGUGGACUAGACAUAGCCAGUGGCUUGAUUUCUAACCUGUGGUGCCAUUGACUGCCAUGAGGAUGGAUUUGCCAAUGAGGAGGACCACAGGUGAGGGCUGGGCGCUGUACUGCAGACCACACUGGAUGUACAUCACAGACUCGCGCAUGACUUUCCUCCAGAGCACCUGGCCGCUGACUGCUGACAGGGCCACCGCACUGUAAACUGGGUGGAAGGAAAGAUGCAGUGAAUCAAUAAAACCAGGAAAAACACAAAAGCAGAAAAGGUUAAAGAAGGAGACAUUAAAGUUGAAAUUUUUGGCUCAGGACAAGCAGGAUAAAAUCAGGAGAGAGUCUUGUUACAUCAUUCAGCACAGUAGCUACCUAUCAUGUAGCGCUCAGGAGGACACAUGCACACGACAAGUCUGUUUUUCCACCAUUCUCUCUUUCCCUUAUUAUCUCAAAGGCCUCUAUUUAUAAUAAAACACCUGACAGGGUAGAAACAAACCAGGCCAAGCUUUUUCAAAGAAUUGUUCACAUACUUUUGUUUCCUUGUGUAGGAUGGGUGUCAUUGGUCCAUUCGGUAACACCCAGAAACACAUCCUCCACCGAAUCCCCAUCGACGUCCCACAGCGCCAGUGCAGGUGGAGUGACACCUGGACGGAAAAAAAUAUAUAACAAAUGAAUGGCAUCCACUAAUAGAGUGCACGUCAGUGUUUGACUGGAGCUAAAAGUCUACCGACCGGUUUAACAACUUUCUGCAUAAGGUUGUAUUAAAGUGUUUUGUCCACCUACAUUUUGAAUCAGCAGGGGGGGAAAUGGGGGAAGUAAAUGUGUGAAUCACAUGUCUUGGCUCAGUUGUCCAUGUUUGUUUUCUAAAAUACUGGUGAUUAAAGUGCAGGCAUUAAAGCCACAGUGCCACUCUGCAACACGUUCGUAGCGCAUGCUGAAACCGAACACAUGGUAGACAGAGUGGUGCUCACAAUCAGGUAUAAUUACACGGACAAGAGACUCCCAAGUAAGUCUUCAUAAAGUGAGCGUUAUUAGAGUAUUUUAUUUUCUUACUUUCAUUUCAUGCUAAAUGUAAAUACUCUUCAGUUAUUUUGCUACUGGAAAUGUAGCUGCAGUGACCCUCUCUGUACCUCCUGCGUCUCCCAGUGCUCUCUCCCACUGCAGCCUCUUUUCCAGAUCUCCCUUCUGGCACGGGAUCAGGAACGCACACAGCAGCACGAGCAGUGUGGCGCAGACCAGCGGCACCAGGAAGAACGCACUCCGGACAGCAUUCUUCAUCCUCAUCUUCUUUUCUUCCGCGUCAGUACUGUGAACCCCGAGCCCAGUGCCCCCCAGCGGCCCAGGCCCCCCUCUUGUCUCCCCAGCCCUGUCCCUGCCCGAGUCCCUGUUGCUCCAGUACUGCAUGCCUUUCAUGUCGUCUCUGUCCCGUCUGGAUUUGCUGGGGAGUCGCUCCCUCCACACGUCCUCUUCUUCCUCCUCGUCCUCCUGUGCCUCGUCUUGGGCCCCCACAAGUCUCCCAGAUCUGCCGCCCCGCACCUUUGAGGGACCCGUGCCGAGGCAGCUGUCCCUGCCAAGGCCAUUACGGGGGUAGUUGAGCACGAGGUCGUCCUCUUCGCUGUCGUCGUCGCUGUCUGCUUGGGUGAGGGGGUCGUACUCCCCAAGCUCGGAGCCCUUCUUCCCUGCAGAGACACAGAGGCUGCUCGUCAGGAUCAACUGAGUCAGACAGCUCAGUAUAUGGUGGCUGAACAUUAGCUAGCAGCUAGCUGAAAGGCAGAAGACAACGGAAAGAUGCGCUGCUCCUCCGCACACACAGAAACCCACAUCUGUCUUAAACUACAUCCUUUGGAAAACACGUCCUUUAAUCUGGGACGACAUGACACAGAUGCUGACUGUCUGAGAGACAGCGCAUCAAAUGAAUCAACUGUGUAUGAGAGCAGAGCAGCCGCAGCAGUACAGGACCCUCACAGACCACCUCCUCCAAACACAUGAGGAUGGUUUCAGUAAAAUGUCAGCUGAAAUGUUUCAUCUAUCUAUCUGUGUGGAUGAAAAGCGUGUAGCGCAUCUUACCGGGCAGUUUGAGAGCACGGGACAGAGCUGCAGCCAUUUCUCUUCUCUGCUGCUAACGGAUCCGCGCGACAGCAGCGACGUGAGGCAGCGGCGAUGAACAGCGAGAGUACAUCGACCCAGCACUUCGGAUCUGCCCUACUGCAUUCUGGGACUUCGAGUUUUUCUUGUUUUGAUGUUUGAUUCUCAUGCCAAAUAUUUGUAACAAACAAAAAACUAAGCUUUAUAUGUAAACUUAUUAAAUUAUAUUAGGGUUCAGGAUUUCAAUUCAAUACAAAUCAACAGUCCCGUAAAUUACAUAUUUAAAAUAAAUGUUGUUCAACUAA